rnacentral:rRNA from 1 species
UACGGAGGGUGCAAGCGUUAUCCGGAUUUACUGGGUUUAAAGGGUGUGUAGGCGGACUUUUAAGUCAGGGGUGAAAUCCCGAGGCUCAACCUCGGAACUGCCUUUGAUACUAUUGGUCUUGAAUGUUGUUGAGGUGGGCGGAACGGGUCAUGUAGCGGUGAAAUGCAUAGGUAUGACCCGGAACACCGAUUGCGAAGGCAGCCCGCUAAGCAACUAUUGACGCUGAGGCACGAAAGCGUGGGGAUCAAACAGG